CAGCAGCCACGGUAAUACGAAGGGGGCUAGCGUUGCUCGGAAUGACUGGGCGUAAAGGGCGCGUAGGCGGCGAUCAAAGUCAGGCGUGAAAUUCCAGGGCUCAACCUGGGGCCUGCGUUUGAUACUUGAUUGCUAGAGUGGGGAAGAGGGUCGUGGAAUUCCCAGUGUAGAGGUGAAAUUCGUAGAUAUUGGGAAGAACACCGGUGGCGAAGGCGGCGACCUGGUCCUUGACUGACGCUGAGGCGCGAAAGCGUGGGGAGCAAACAGGAUUAGAUACCCGAGUAGUCCCUGUCUCUUAUAC
rnacentral:rRNA from 1 species